rnacentral:rRNA from 1 species
AGAGUUUGAUCCUGGCUCAGAACAAACGCUGGCGGCGUGUCUUAAGCAUGCAAGUCGAGCGGCAAGGGCAGCAAUGCCCCUAGAGCGGCGGACUGGUGAGUAACGCGUGGGUGACCUGCCUUGGGCAUGGGGAUAGCCAUUAGAAAUAGUGGGUAAUACCGAAUACGUUCGCACGGGUGAAGCUGUGUGAAGAAAGGUGCUACGGCAUCGGCCUGAAGAUGGACUCGCGUCCCAUUAGCUCGUUGGUGAGGUAACGGCCCACCAAGGCUAUGAUGGGUAGCCGGCCUGAGAGGGUGUACGGCCACACUGGGACUGAGAUACGGCCCAGACUCCUACGGGAGGCAGCAGCUAAGAAUAUUCCGCAAUGGACGAAAGUCUGACGGAGCGACGCCGCGUGGAUGAAGAAGGCCGAAAGGUUGUAAAAUCCUUUUGCUGGGGAAGAAUAAGCGUGGGAGGGAAUGCCCGCGUGAUGACAUGAACCGGCGAAUAAGCCCCGGCCAACUACGUGCCAGCCGCCGCGGU